GACGAACGCUGGCGGCGUGCUUAACACAUGCAAGUCGAACGGAGUGGCGAACGGGUGAGUAACACGUGGGUGAUCUGCCUUGCACUUCGGGAUAAGCUUGGGAAACUGGGUCUAAUACCGGAUAGUGCAAGAUGAGCACGCGGCCUAUCAGCUUGUUGGUGGGGUAAUGGCCUACCAAGGCGUCGACGGGUAGCCGGCCUGAGAGGGUGUACGGCCAAAGUGGGAAUGAGAUACAGCCCAGACUCCUACGAGAGGCAGCAGUGGGGAAUAUUGCGCAAAGGGCGGAAGCCUGAUGCAGCGAGGCUGCGUGGAAGAUGAAGGCCUUAGGGUUGUAAGCUCCUGUCGACAGGAACGCGGUACCUGUAUACGAAGCACCGGCUAACUACGUGACAGGCGCCGCGGUAAUAG
rnacentral:rRNA from 1 species